rnacentral:lncRNA from 1 species
GUUUAAAUCUGUUGUAGGAAUUAUUAGGGUUUGGGUUGGGAUUUAGGAUUUGGUUAGGAUUUAGGAUUUGGUUUAGGAUUUAGGAUUUGAAUUAGAGUUUGGUUUAGGAUUUAGGAUUUGAAUUAGGAUUUGGUUAGGAUUUGAUUUAGGAUUUGGUUAGGAUUUGGUUUAGGAUUUGGUUGGGGUUUGAUUUAAGGUUUGUUUAGGGUUUGAUUUAGGGUUUAGGAUUUUAUUAGGAUUUAAGAUUAAAUUAGUUUUGGCCUAAAGUUUGAAUGAAGUUCAAUAGGAUUUUAACUAGAAUUAAAUUAAGAUUGAAUUGAGAUGUAUUUGAGUGAUAUUUGUGAUCCUUCUAAUAUUUUUUUAAGAAUUCUUAUUGUUUGUUUGAAAUUUCUUUGAGAUUUCUUUGAGAUUUCUUUGAAUUUGAUUAAGCUUGCUUACCAUUAUUAUGGUCUAAUUAGAGUAUUGUUAGAAUUCUAUUAUAAUUAGAAUUUUGUUAUUGUAAUUUUCAUUCUUCCUUUCACAGCCAAGUGCCCGGAGCAUUCUCAAGGAAGACUUCAUGUAUAAUGACAAUGCUCUCUUGAUUUGUACCUUUAAUAGAAAAAGAUUUGUGACUCUUUUAUGAUUUGAAUUCAUUCUUAAAAG